UGCUAGGAUCUCCCCUCCUGUUCUCUUUGUUUCCAGAGUACAGGAGUGAAACCAUGGCUCUGGUUGUCUUGCAUCAGCCAAAUUGCUGCCUGAACCCCGGAUUGUAACUUCUCCUUCCAGAACUUACCAUAUCUCGUUCACACACAAAUUACCCCUGGGAGAUUAUAGAAAUUUAAAAAUAAAUAAAUAAACUUCUUGAGGGAUUACAAUACAAUAGUAGCCUAUAAUUCUUCUUUCAUUGCUACUGAAAGAGAAAUGGUGCCCAAUAAGUAAAGCCUUUAUUAUAUCUUAGAAGAAAGAAAGCUCUUAUUUCUGGUUCAGAGAUUCAACAUCAUGGCAUUUAUAAUUAUAUUCUGGAGUCAACAUUGUUAAAAAUUUGGGCUUUCAUGCUAAAAAGUGAUUUUUUAAAAAAAAAAUAUAUAAUUACCUACUAAUUCUUCCCAAAUGGUAUGACUUGCCUUUUUUCUCUCUUUUUUUGAAUCAUAACUCAUCUUAAACAAUCUAUUUUUUUUUCUUUUUAGAGGAAGUCUAAAAUAACACAUGGGUGUCUCGGCCUUGGCACAGCUAAACCCUGGAACAUUGAACUGAAGUCAUAACAAUGGGUAAUAUUUUAAUAUAAUGAAAAAUUAUCAUUAACUUUUCUCGACAGGAAGGAAAUGAAUUUUCCUCAUUGUACACAUUCCGAGAAAAAUGAGGCUAAGACUAUUUCAAAGGAUGUUCUACCUAAUUCGAAUGGGCUUUAAGUGCCAUCUUCACAAUAGCGCCAGAGUCUGGUGUCAGCAAACUGAACAAAUAGAGCUACAGGGAGCGAAUGGGGCUGGGUGCCUCUCCAAAACAUAUGCAGAUGAACUUGAGAUUUCAGAGGACGGUUAAUCCUACACAGCAGUCAAGUGCCUUCCCAGGGGUAUGUCUCAGAUCUCAGUCCCCAAC
rnacentral:lncRNA from 1 species